UGUCCUGGAGGACAGGUAGUCUUUAUGGCCUUCCUGUAACAUCGUGUGGUGUAGGUGUCCUGGAGGACAGGUAGUCUUUAUGGCCUUCCUGUAACAUCGUGUGGUGUAGGUGUCCUGGAGGACAGGUAGUCUUUAUGGCCUUCCUGUAACAUCGUGUGGUGUAGGUGUCCUGGAGGACAGGUAGUCUUUAUGGCCUUCCUGUAACAUCGUGUGGUGUAGGUGUCCUGGAGGACAGGUAGUCUUUAUGGCCUUCCUGUAACAUCGUGUGGUGUAGGUGUCCUGGAGGGCAGGUAGUCUUAAUGGCCUUCCUGUAACAUUGUGUGGUGUAGGUGUCCUGGAGGACAGGUAGUCUUUAUGGCCUUCCUGUAACAUCGUGUGGUGUAGGUGUCCUGGAGGACAGGUAGUCUUAAUGGCCUUCCUGUAACAUCGUGUGGUGUAGGUGUCCUGGAGGACAGGUAGUCUUUAUGGCCUUCCUGUAACAUCGUGUGGUGUAGGUGUCCUGGAGGACAGGUAGUCUUUAUGGCCUUCCUGUAACAUCGUGUGGUGUAGGUGUCCUGGAGGACAGGUAGUCUUUAUGGCCUUCCUGUAACAUCGUGUGGUGUAGGUGUCCUGGAGGACAGGUAGAUUGGUGAUGUGUUGUACCCUCU